UUUUUGUAAAUAUUUCUAAGAUUGACAGUCAUUACAGGUUCAUUAUCCACAUGAAUGCUGUUUCACUGAGGGAAUGGGUGGUGAUUCACCCGCAUGUUGCAGUUCAUAAUUUGACCGCUUUAGAUGCCGGUGUAGCAGCAACAUUGUAACUGUGAAUAACAGCUGGCUAGCGAACGUUCGUUAACAACAUUUCCACUGGGGCUGCAUUCCACUACUAUUAGCUAGCUAAAGGCUAGCUUUAUUGACAAAAUAUGCAGAAGUAUGAAAAACUUGAGAAGAUUGGAGAGGGCACAUAUGGAACUGUUUUCAAAGCAAAAAAUAGAGAAACGCAUGAAAUCGUGGCUUUAAAAAGAGUGAGAUUGGAUGACGACGAUGAGGGGGUCCCAAGUUCUGCCCUGCGAGAAAUUUGCCUCCUGAAAGAACUGAAGCAUAAAAACAUUGUGAGAUUGCAUGAUGUUCUGCACAGUGACAAGAAGUUAACAUUGGUGUUUGAAUUUUGUGAUCAGGAUCUAAAGAAAUACUUUGAUAGCUGCAAUGGAGACCUAGAUCCAGAAACUGUCAAGUCGUUCAUGUACCAGCUGUUGAAGGGGCUUGCCUUCUGCCACAGUCGGAAUGUUCUCCACAGAGACCUGAAGCCACAGAACCUCCUCAUCAAUAGGAAUGGGGAAUUGAAGCUGGCUGACUUUGGCUUGGCUCGAGCCUUUGGAAUCCCAGUGAGAUGUUACUCAGCAGAGGUUGUGACAUUGUGGUAUAGGCCCCCAGAUGUGCUCUUCGGUGCUAAGCUUUAUUCUACCUCUAUUGACAUGUGGUCUGCUGGAUGCAUAUUUGCAGAGUUGGCAAACGCUGGAAGGCCCCUUUUUCCGGGUAAUGACGUUGAUGACCAGCUGAAGAGGAUCUUCCGAUUGUUGGGUACACCAACUGAAGAACUGUGGCAGACAAUGACAAAGCUUCCAGACUAUAAGCCGUACCCCAUGUAUCCAGCCACGACCUCACUGGUGAAUGUUGUCCCCAAACUCAGUAGCACAGGACGGGAUCUCCUGCAGAAUCUGUUGAAGUGUAACCCUGUCCAGAGGAUCUCUGCAGAGGAGGCAUUACAACACCCUUACUUUGCUGAUUUCUGCCCACCGUAGAUGAGGUGCCCAAACACGUCACUCAACUGAACCUCCUCCAUCGGAAUCAAUCCUCUUUCACUCCCAUCUUCUCAACAGGAUCUGUCUAUCCCGACUCCCUACAAGGCUCAUCCUUCAGCAGCACCUGUUUUGACUAAGACACUUCCCUUCAGUUCAUCCUGUUGUGCCUCCAAAUGGAAUCAAGUCCUUGUGGGCUCUGCAAUAUUUUAGAUUUUGUUAGCAAACCUGUCUGCUUUUGUCUGUGAAGCGCACUGAUAUGGAAACAUAUAUAACAUGUAGCGAAUAACAAAUCUGGAUCCAGAGAAACCGUGAAUCCUUCUGAGCCAUUAGCUGCGCAGCAGAGUAAGAGUAAAAUCAAGACAAAGCUCCAUCAAUUUCAGAGCAGGGGCACGGUGGAAAAGAUGGUCAACAACCACCAGAAGUGAAGAGCCUUUUCCAACUUUCUGCCCUAUGCACCAGCUGGCGUGAGUGAAUUUCCGUUAAGAUGUUACCAUGGUCCAUCACCCAGGAUUUUAAAGUAACUUUUUGCACCAAAUAUUGACAAAUAGAAUACCUCAGUUACACAAAUGGUUCAAAUAGUUGAAGGAACUCAUAUCAUGGAGUGAUAUGUCACCAUGUGUCUCCCGACCCCUCCUGUCUCAGCCUCCAGUAUUUAUGCUGCAGUAGUUUGUGUCGGGGGGCUAGGGUCAGUCUGUUACAUCUGGAGUAUUUCUCCUGUCUUAUCUGGUGUCCUGUGUGAAUUUAAGAAUGCUCUCUCUAAUUCUCUCUUUUUCCUCUUUCUCUCGGAGGACCUGAGCUCUAGGACCAUGCCUCAGGACUACCUGGCCUGAUGACUCCUUGCUAUUCUCAGUCCACCUGGUCGUGUUGCUGCUCCAGUUUCAACUGUUCUGCCUGCGGCUAUGGAACCCUAACCUGUUCACCAUGCUACCUGUCCCAGACCUACUGUUUUCAACUCUCUAUAGUAGGAGCAGUAGAGAUGCUCUGAAUGAUCAGCUAUCAAAAGCCAACUGACAUUUACUCCUGAGGUGCUGACCUGUUGCACCCUCGACAACUACUAUGAUUAUUAUUAUUUGACCCUGCUGGUCAUCUAUAGACAUUUAAACAUCUUGACCAUGUUCUGUUAUAAUCUCCACCCGGCACAGCCAGAAGAGGACUGGCCACCCCUUAUAGCCUGGUUCCUCUCUAGGUUUCUUCUUAGGUUCUGGCCUUUCUAGGGAGUUUUUCCUAGCCACUGUGCUUCUACACCUGCAUUGCUUGCUGUUUGGGGUUUUAGGCUGGGUUUCUGUACAGCACUUUGUGACAUCAGUUUAUGUAAAAAGGGCUUUAUAAAUACAUUUGAUUGAUUGAUUGUUUAAGGGUAGAUAAAGAUGGUGUUACAUGAUCUACAUGUAAUUACAUGAACGAUGAUGCAUAGAAGACCAAACAAUGCUGAUUACAUUUCCAGAUAAUUCUGCACGUGAUGUUUCACGUAAGAUUGAGAAUGUUACACCUGGUUAGGAGAGGGUAUUCAUUAUUUAAUGGAUAUUUAAGGUCAAUCACAUGGUGGGAGUAUCAUAUACAUACAGUACAUAGUGCCAGUUGAUCCUAGUUCAGUUCCACAGCUGUCUGUAGGCCUCCAACAGUGCAAGACAUACUAUCAUCUACUCUCUGUAAGAUCCAGUCUUACAGAAGAAUAACAUUCCUUACAAGCCAGUGGCCACAUACUGUACGUACAAUAUAUAUAUUUUUGUUGUCAGGAAACAUAUCCCGGCUUCUCAGCCCCAUGUUCAAUACUUCAUGGUCACUGAAUAUUGCACAACCCUAAGCCUAGUUUUUCAUUAAGAUUUUUUCAUUCUAAAGAUUGAACAGUACCCUACCACACAACAUGGAUAUUAACCAUCUCGCUCCCAACAAAAUAGUAAAGUAACAUGGCGGCUGAUUAUACACAUGGAUUAUACACAUGGAGUACACAAUGAUCAUGCAAGGAGGAAAAGAGGUGAGGCGCAAUAACAAUACACAUCAUUAAGCUGCAAGAAUGAAGGUCUUUAGACUAUUAGUUGACAUAAAUAUACAAUACUGUCAUCUACUUGGCUGUAAUUUAUUAUGCUAUAAAAUACCCAUUAAAAGACUUGAAUCAAUAAGCACAA